rnacentral:rRNA from 1 species
AUUGAACGCUGGCGGCAUGCCUUACACACGCAAGUCGAACGGCAGCACGGGUGCUUGCACCUGGUGGCGAGUGGCGAACGGGUGAGUAAUACAUCGGAACGUACCUUAUCGUGGGGGAUAACGCAGCGAAAGCUGUGCUAAUACCGCAUACGCCCUGAGGGGGAAAGCGGGGGAUCGAAAGACCUCGCGCGAUUAGAGCGGCCGAUGCCUGAUUAGCUUGUUGGUGGGGUAAAAGCCCACCAAGGCGACGAUCAGUAGCUGGUCUGAGAGGACGAUCAGCCACACUGGGACUGAGACACGGCCCAGACUCCUACGGGAGGCAGCAGUGGGGAAUUUUGGACAAUGGGGGCAACCCUGAUCCAGCAAUGCCGCGUGAGUGAAGAAGGCCUUCGGGUUGUAAAGCUCUUUUGUCAGGGAAGAAACACCGGCUCUAACACAAUCCGGGAAUGACGGUACCUGAAGAAUAAGCACCGGCUAACUACGUGCCAGCAGCCGCCGUAA